rnacentral:rRNA from 1 species
GACGAACGCUGGCGGCGUGCUUAACACAUGCAAGUCGAACGGAAAGGCCCUGCUAUUGUGGGGUGCUCGAGUGGCGAACGGGUGAGUAACACGUGAGUAACCUGCCCUUGACUUUGGGAUAACUUCAGGAAACUGGGGCUAAUACCGGAUAGGAGCUCCUGCUGCAUGGUGGGGGUUGGAAAGUUUCGGCGGUUGGGGAUGGACGCGCGGCUUAUCAGCUUGUUGGUGGGGUAGUGGCUUACCAAGGCUUUGACGGGUAGCCGGCAUGAGAGGGUGACCGGCCACAAUGCGACUGAGGUACGGCCCAGACGCCUACGGGAGACAGCAGUGGGGAAUAUUGCACAAUGGGCGGGAGCCUGAUGCGGCAGCGCCGCGUUCGGGAUGACGGCCUUCGGGUAGUAAACCGCUUUCGCCUGUUACGAAGCUUGAGUGACGGUAAUGGGUAAAGAAGCACCGGCUAACUACGUG